rnacentral:rRNA from 1 species
AACGAACGCUGGCGGCAUGCCUAACACAUGCAAGUCGAACGAGACCUUCGGGUCUUGUGGCGCACGGGUGCGUAACGCGUGGGAACCUGCCCUUAGGUUCGGAAUAACUCCCCGAAAGGGGUGCUAAUACCGGAUAAUGUCUUCGGACCAAAGAUUUAUCGCCUUUGGAUGGGCCCGCGUUGGAUUAGCUAGUUGGUAGGGUAAAAGCCUACCAAGGCGACGAUCCAUAGCUGGUCUGAGAGGAUGAUCAGCCACACUGGGACUGAGACACGGCCCAGACUCCUACGGGAGGCAGCAGUGGGGAAUAUUGGACAAUGGGGGAAGGCCUGAUCGAGCAAUGCCGCGUGAGUGAUGAAGGCCUUAGGGUUGUAAAGCUCUUUUACCCGGGAUGAUAAUGACAGUACCGGGAGAAUAAGCUCCGGCUAACUCCGUG